UACGGGGGGGGCAAGCGUUGUUCGGAAUUACUGGGCGUAAAGGGCUCGUAGGCGGCCAACUAAGUCAGAUGUGAAAUCCCCAGGCUUAACCUGGGAACUGCAUCUGAUACUGGAUGGCUUGAAUCCGGGAGAGGGAUGCAGAAUUCCAGGUGUAGCGGUGAAAUGCGUAGAUAUCUGGAGGAACACCGGUGGCGAAGGCGGCAUCCUGGACCGGCAUUGACGCUGAGGAGCGAAAGCCAGGGGAGCAAACGGG
rnacentral:rRNA from 1 species